GGUGAACUGCUCCAAAGAGCCCUGCUCAACAGACAAAGGCAGUAAUCGGAGAAGUUCACAUGAUAACCCUUAUUCUCCUCCAGAAUGCUCUGGUGGGUUACGAUUUAUUGAGGGAAAACACCCCUCGUGAGCUUCCUCUUGGUUUUAAACACAAGUUUCUCAAAACAGUGUAGGCAUAUUAACUGUUUGUCAAUAAAUACUUCUUAGGUAUUUUGAUCCCUUCUAACGCAUAUAGCAUUUGUCUGCCUUUGGAGCUCGGAUCUGUUGUUUGUCUGGCACAAGUCAGCUUCUGGGUAAGGCAUGCACAUUUUAUGACACCUUAUAUAGACCAGUGAAAUAAAUACACGAGAUGCAAAGCUCAAAGUAACAUAUUCCAGAUCUGACAUCUUACCAUGGCUUUGAGCUUCAGGCACUGACAAAUAUUCCACACGUACUAACUCUCCCAGAGGAGGAAAUAUAAUGAUGUUUAUGUUAUGCAAUAUGUAAAAUAUUUAUACCUUGACUUCAACGCAAACUGACUAUCACUUAAAUCAGGAGGUGCUGCUCACAAUAAAGGCAAGUGACAUUAUCUGCACCACUCUUUAUAGGCAAAGGAGAACUCAGUACAGCAAAUGAUCCUUUAUGUACAGAAUAAGAUUCCACCAACGUCAGUGUUUUAAAGAAUAACAGUUAUGGGAAAGGUUUUCAAUGUGCUUGCUUCUUCUAGAAUUGUUAAAUUACCAAGAAGGGCAAAAUGUAUGCCUUCCUGACUAUUGCCCUUAUCUUUAGAAUGGGAAAAUCUUUUCUUCUGACAAACCAUUUUUUCAUGAAUAACCUCUUCAAUAGCAUUUAGUUAUCAUUAUUAAUAAAUUGUUACAGUAAUAAAUUAUAUUUUCAACAUUUUAUUAAAUGCAGUUCUCAUGUACUUAAAAUAAAUUGCAAAGCCGGCUUUUUUCAUGGUAUUUAAUAUAUAUAGUAUGACACAAUGUGCUUUUAAUAUAUUUAAUGUUAUAUACUUUAAAAUCUAAGUGUGUUGUACUUUUAUGGAACUUACUUUAUAUUCCUUUCUAUAUGGAAAAUGUAUUACUUUUUAAUAUGGGUUCAUUGUGCAGUGCCAUUAGGAAAUAGAGCACGGUUCUUAAAAGUGGUAACUUUCAGAAUUUAAGUACAUUAAGUGUUGGGGAGGGGGAGAAACUGCAUUAUGGUAACAUCAAGCAUCUAAUUGAAACUGACAAAAGCAAGGGGAGAAAUCUCACACUGACAUUGUAAUGGCAUUCACAUUUGCAUUGACAUCAUAACAGUUCUAAUGCAAGCACACGAGGCACUUCCACGGGCAAAAAAAGACUUCCCCUGACAUUCCACCACUUUCACACUUUCUUUGGACAUGCUAUCACUGUCAUUCAAGAUAAAGAUAAAAAUAUUAUGAAAAACAUCUUUAGUUCAUGCUUAUUAGAUACUCUCCACAGCUGAAAUAUGGUGGUCGUUUUUAAGAGUUUCUUAUUUUUAAGCCUCAAAAAUACAUUGGUCGACUCUCCAGGAAGAAUGCAUCACCAAAUUCUCAAUCACUUAAAAUUGUUUUGUGAAAAAGAAAUUGAAAAUUGAUUUUGCAGAAUUUUUUUUUCCUUUGGCAUAACUCCUUAGGGCCAAAAAAAAAAAAAA
ensembl:lncRNA